rnacentral:rRNA from 1 species
GACGAACGCUGGCGGCGUGCCUAACACAUGCAAGUCGAACGGAGUGAAGCCCUUCGGGACUUUACUUAGUGGCGAACGGGUGAGUAACGCGUGAGGAACCUGCCUUUCAGUGGGGGACAACAGUUGGAAACGACUGCUAAUACCGCAUGACGCUUCUUGGGGGCAUCCCCGGGAAGCCAAAGAUUUUAUUGCUGAAAGAUGGCCUCGCGUCUGAUUAGCUGGUUGGUGAGGUAACGGCCCACCAAGGCGACGAUCAGUAGCCGGUCUGAGAGGAUGAACGGCCACAUUGGGACUGAGAUACGGCCCAGACUCCUACGGGAGGCAGCAGUGGGGAAUAUUGGGCAAUGGGGGAAACCCUGACCCAGCAACGCCGCGUGAAGGAAGAAGGCCUUCGGUUGUAAACUUCUUUAGUCAGGACGAAGGACGUGACGGUACC